UAAUACGUAGGGUGCGAGCGUUAAUCGGAAUUACUGGGCGUAAAGCGUGCGCAGGCGGUUGUGUAAGACAGGUGUGAAAUCCCCGGGCUUAACCUGGGAACUGCGCUUGUGACUGCACGGCUAGAGUACGGCAGAGGGGGGUGGAAUUCCACGUGUAGCAGUGAAAUGCGUAGAGAUGUGGAGGAACACCGAUGGCGAAGGCAGCCCCCUGGGCCGAUACUGACGCUCAUGCACGAAAGCGUGGGGAGCAAACAGGAUUAGAUACCCUGGUAGUCCACGCCCUAAACGAUGUCGACUAGUCGUUCGUGGAGGUAACUCUGUGAGUGACGCAGCUAACGCGUGAAGUCGACCGCCUGGGGAGUACGGUCGCAAGAUUA
rnacentral:rRNA from 1 species